rnacentral:lncRNA from 1 species
AGACUGCCAAAGCCGGGCGCAGGAAGGCCGAAGAGUGCUGAGGACGCCACCACAUCCCAGUAGGCUCCGGCCUGGGCGGCCACAGCGCUGGGCAGCAUGGUGCGCGCCCGCUGCCCGGGGAGCCGUGGAGAGCGAGUGCGAAGGGACAGGGACAGGGCGCGGACAGGAUCGGGGCUGAGGGUCAUCUCGCCAGGAUGAGAAGUGGAGUCUUGAAAAAGCACUUGGGAGCCUCUUCUUCCUCUCUUGGAUUCCUGUACUUUCUGGUAGAAGAAGACAAGAGCAAAGCUGACCUAUCUCCAGACCCCGACUGACGAUAGCUCCACGAGUUAGCAGCACAUCCCAGAGCAACGGAUCCAACCAAUAGACCCACACAAUUACUGUUUAAAACUGGAGAGUUGGGGGUGGGUUGUUAUUUAAAUUGUACUGAACACUCGGGAUAGUGGAUUUUGCCUUCCUUGGAAUCUGUUUCCUUGUGGUAAUAAUGCAUCUAUCCCUCACUCAGAAA